GCAAGGAAUUUUCGUCAAUGGGCGCAAGCCUGAACGAGCAACGCCGCGUGGAGGAUGACGGCCUUCGGGUUGUAAACUCCUUUUGGGGUGGACGAUGAUGACGGUACACUCCGAAUCAGCCCCGGCUAACUCUGUGCCAGCAGCCGCGGUAAGACAGAGGGGGCAAGCGUUGUCCGGAAUUACUGGGCGUACAGCGCACGCAGGUGGCCGAUUAAGUGUCGGGUGAAAGCCCCGCGCUCAACGCGGGGAGGCCUCGGCAGACUGGUGGGCUCGAGGGGUGCAGAGGGUCGUGGAAUUGCCGGUGUAGUGGUGAAAUGCGUAGAGAUCGGCAGGAACACCAAGGGCGAAGGCAGCGACCUGGGCAGACCCUGACACUCAGGUGCGACAGCGUGGGGAGCGAACCGGAUUAGAAACCCGAGUAGUCC
rnacentral:rRNA from 1 species